rnacentral:rRNA from 1 species
AAUUACCUUAAUAGCGGCGAGUGAAGCGGCAAAAGCUCAAAUUUGAAAUCUGGCUCUUUCAGAGUCCGCAGUUGUAAUUUGAAGAAGGUAUCUUUGGGUCUGGCUCUUGUCUAUGUUUCUUGGAACAGAACGUCACAGAGGGUGAGAAUCCCGUGCGAUGAGAUGAUCCAGGCCUAUGUAAAGUUCCUUCGAAGAGUCGAGUUGUUUGGGAAUGCAGCUCUAAGUGGGUGGUAAA